GCUGAGGCGCCAGGAGAGCGCUGAGGCGCCAGGAGAGCGCUGAGGCGCCAGGAGAGCGCUGAGGCGCCAGGAGAGCGCUGAGGCGCCAGGAGAGCGCUGAGGCGCCAGGAGAGCGCUGAGGCGCCAGGAGAGCGCUGAGGCGCCAGGAGAGCGCUGAGGCGCCAGGAGAGCGCUGAGGCGCCAGGAGAGCGCUGAGGCGCCAGGAGAGCGCUGAGGCGUGGAGACUCAAGGUGGCGGCCGAGAGCGGGAAGGAAAACAACGGGACGGGACUGACUCGGGGCAACAAGGACUACCCAUUGUGGGGAAAGUUAAAUACAUAUUUUAAGUGAGAGCUUGUGAUCCAGCCACUGCACUGGGCAGUGAGGACUCCAAGUGGAAGAUGAUGUCAUCCACAAUGGCAUCUCCAGGGGAAUCGAUUUUGAUGACUGCAAUCAAGGCAGGCGGGUCAAUGGCAGCGACCACUGAAGAUGCUAUGGCUUGAGAGGAAAGGAGAGAGGCAGCCACUGCCUGAGACGGAGUCUCCCUCUGUCGCCCAGCUUGGAGCUCACUGCAACCUCUGCCUCCUGGGUUCAAGCAAUUUUCCUGGCUCAGCCUCCAGAGUAGCUGGGAUUACAUGUGCCUGCCGCCAUACCCAGAUAAUUUUUGUAUUUUUAGUAGAGAUGGGGUUUUGCCAUGGUGAACAGAGUGGUCUCGAACUCCUGACCUCAGGUGAUCAACCAGUCUCGGUCUCCCAAAGUACUGGCAUUACAGGCAUGAGCCAUCUCGCCUGGCCUCUUCCUAAUUUUUAAUACUAAAUAUCUCAUGGGGAUUGAGAAUAAAGCAAAUAUUUCCAAAGUGGCAAUGCCCCUGUUGUAGAGAAUAAAGGUCUUGGUGG